GCGAACCGGAACUUCGAGGGUCAGACACCUCACUUCCGGCUGCGCGGGGCGCGGCGUGGGUCGUACCAAGUGGGUCCUGCUCUGGCUCGUACUGCGCCCUAUGUGGGACCCUGGCAGUGGAGUUACCACCGUAUCUGGGGCUCAUGUCUACGGGAAAUGGAUGGGCAAGAUAUUCGAGAGUUGGUCAGAAGACUGAGCCCAUGCUGAAGACGGAGAAGAGACAGAGACAGACGAGACCACACGACCCUUCAUUUCCAGACGUUCACAGUCUAGAAGGGGAGACAGCUUGAGACUAUAAUCAAGUGUGAUGGAUAUGGUGGCAGAAUUGCACACAGGGCACACAUGUGCCUGGGGAGAGCAUGCUGCUGAACAGUGAAGGGGGAUGCCAUGGAGGCAAUCCCAGGAUACCUGAGAGGGGUUAUCCCUUGGUAAAUUAAAUAAGCAGGAGGCCCUUAGCCUGAGGCUGCUUCCAUGCCAUGUGUUCCUGCCUAACGCAUUGCGACCUAGCUUAGUAUGUAAACAAACUGAAACGUAAUCUAGGGGUAUUAACAAGCAUGAACAUUUCAGCCAAUUACAAGCAGUCAGGUUUCAGCUAAUCAUAGGCAGCCAACCUGUUAUACCAUGUCCAAAUUAGGCAGAUGCCCAGAUGUAUCUAAUCACGUGAUUUCUCUAUUUUGCUUCUGGAUUUAUCCUGUAAAAUCUCACUGCUCACACAGAUGAGUAGCGCUCUCUAAAUGUUUUCUGGUUCUGAGUGCUGCCUGGUUCAUGAACAGUUCUUUGCUCAAAUAAACUGUGCUAAAUUUAA